rnacentral:rRNA from 1 species
GAACGGGUGAGUAAUGCAUCGGAACGUGCCGUGUAGUGGGGGAUAACGUAGCGAAAGUUACGCUAAUACCGCAUACGCCCUGAGGGGGAAAGUGGGGGACCGCAAGGCCUCACGCUAUACGAGCGGCCGAUGUCGGAUUAGCUAGUUGGUAGGGUAAAGGCCUACCAAGGCGACGAUCCGUAGCGGGUCUGAGAGGAUGAUCCGCCACACUGGGACUGAGACACGGCCCAGACUCCUACGGGAGGCAGCAGUGGGGAAUUUUGGACAAUGGGCGCAAGCCUGAUCCAGCCAUGCCGCGUGAGUGAAGAAGGCCUUCGGGUUGUAAAGCUCUUUCAGACGGAAAGAAAUCGGUGUGUCUAAUACACGCACUGGAUGACGGUACCGUAAGAAGAAGCACCGGCUAACUACGUGCCAGCAGCCGCGGUAAUACGUAGGGUGCGAGCGUUAAUCGGAAUUACUGGGCGUAAAGCGUGCGCAGGCGGUUAUGUAAGACAGAUGUGAAAUCCCCGGGCUCAACCUGGGAACUGCGUUUGUGACUGCAUAACUAGAGUACGGCAGGGGGAGGUGGAAUUCCACGUGUAGCAGUGAAAUGCGUAGAGAUGUGGAGGAACACCGAUGGCGAAGGCAGCCUCCUGGGCCAGUACUGACGCUCAUGCACGAAAGCGUGGGGAGCAAACGGGAUUAGAUACCCUGGUAGUCCACGCCCUAAACGAUGUCAACUAGUUGUUCGGUGAGGAGACUCAUUGAG